GAUGAACGCUGGCGGCGUGCUUAACACAUGCAAGUCGAACGAGAAGUGAAGACGGAAACCUUCGGGCGGAAGGCUUUAUUUCGAGUGGCGGACGGGUGAGUAACGCGUGGGUAACCUGCCUCAUACAGGGGGAUAACAGUUGGAAACGACUGUUAAUACCGCAUAAGACAACAGCACCGCAUGGUGCGGGGGUAAAAACUCCGGUGGUAUGAGAUGGACCCGCGUUCGAUUAGCCAGUUGGCGGGGUAACGGCCCACCAAAGCGACGAUCGAUAGCCGAUCUGAGAGGAUGACCGGCCACAUUGGGACUGAGACACGGCCCAAACUCCUACGGGAGGCAGCAGUGGGGAAUAUUGCACAAUGGGGGAAACCCUGAUGCAGCGACGCCGCGUGAGUGAAGAAGUAUUUCGGUAUGUAAAGCUCUAUCAGCAGGGAAGAAAAUGACGGUACCUGAGUAAGAAGCCCCGGCUAACUACGUG
rnacentral:rRNA from 1 species